rnacentral:tRNA from 1 species
GCAUUCGUGGUGUAAUGGUCAACACACUCGGCGCAUAUUCCAGAGGGCCAGGGUUCGAGUCCCGGCGAGGGCU